GACGAACGCUGGCGGCGUGCCUAAUACAUGCAAGUCGAACGCAGUGGGGACGGGUGAGUAACACGUGGGUAACCUCCAAUCAGAGGGGAUAACACUUGGAAACAGGUGCUAAACCGAUACUGAUGGAUGAACCCGCGGUGCAUUAGCUAGUUGGUGAGGUAACGGCUCAACAAGGCCACGAUGCAUAGCAGACCUGAGAGGGGAAACGUCCACACAGGUACUGAGACACGGCACAGACUCCAACGGGAGGAAGCAGUAGGGAAUCUUCGGCAAUGGACGAAAGUCUGACCGAGCAACGCCGCGUGAAUGAAGAAGGUUUUCGGAUCGUAAAACUCUGUUGUUAGAGAAGCGAUAUCUAACCAGAAAGCCACGGCUAACUACGUGCCAGCAGCCGCGGUAAUUC
rnacentral:rRNA from 1 species